CUUACACAUGCAAGUCGAACGAGAAGUCCUAAAGCUUGCUUUGGGAGUGUAGUGUGGCGAGCGGGUGAGUAACGCGUGGGUACUCUAUCCGUGAAUUCGGGAUAACUGACCGAACGGUGAUCUAAUACGGUGUAACAUCUCAUGUGCCUUGGCGGAUGCGAUCAAGUGCAGUCUCUACAUGUACGCUGUUGUUCGGGUAGGAGCCCGUAUACCAUUAGCUUGUUGGUGGGGUAAGAGCUUACCAGGGCGACGAUGGUUCUCUGGUCUGAGAGUGAUGAUCAGCCACACUGGAUCUGACACACGGUCCAGACUCCUACGGGAGGCAGCAGUGAGGAAUUUUGCGCAGUGGGGGAAACCCUGACGCAGCAACGCCGUGUGAGUGAAGAAGGCCUUCGGGUCGUAGCUCUCUGCCGAGUGGGAAGAACCUGUGGCAUGUUAAUGACAUGUCGCACUGACGGUACCAUUAGAGGACGCAGCGGCUAACUCUGUGCCAGGAGGCGGGGUAAUACGGAGGGUGCGAGCGUUAUUCGGAAUUAUUGGGUGUAAGGGGCGAAUAGGCGGCCUUGUAUGUCAUAUGUGAAAGCCCGGGGCUUAACCCCGGAAGUGCAUUUGACAGUACGGGGCUAGAGUAUGGGAGAGGGAAGUGGAAUUCCUGGUGUAGCGGUGAAGUG
rnacentral:rRNA from 1 species